UACGUAGGGGGCAAGCGUUGUCCGGAUUUAUUGGGCGUAAAGAGCGUGUAGGCGGCCUGACAGGUCUGCUGUGAAAACUCGAGGCUCAACCUCGAGAUGUCGGCGGAAACCGCUCGGCUAGAGUCCGGAAGAGGAGAGUGGAAUUCCUGGUGUAGCGGUGAAAUGCGCAGAUAUCAGGAAGAACACCUAUGGCGAAGGCAGCUCUCUGGGACGGUACUGACGCUGAGACGCGAAAGCGUGGGGAGCGAACAGG
rnacentral:rRNA from 1 species